GCCACCUUCCGAGUGGUCCCAAAGCGUCUGACCGGCGGCCGGGACGGUUUUCCUCGCACCUGUCGAGGCGUCCGUGUGACCAUCGCCGACGUUAGCCAGCGCCACUGCCAAAAGCACCGCCAUUGCCAAGCCGUGAGGCGCCAAAAAAGAGCAAGCGAGCUGCUGAGGCUGAGCUCCAAAAGUGAGUGAGACAAGCAGAGGAGAGGAGAAGAGAAGAGAAGAGAGGAGAGACCGGGAGUGUGUGUUGCUCCCGUGAAUAUCACCACGUCCUCGCUUCAGGAGUCGCCGUGAAAGAAACAGCCCCUUGUCCGAGACCACACCGUUGAUGCAUGCAGUAUGUCCACCUCCUGGAAACCGAACAACAACAAAAAAAAAUGUAUUUGUGGUCGUGCGGGAUUCGUUUACAAGGGUGAUGGAAUUCCUGCUCGUCGGCAGUGACUUAAC